CGUUAAAAUUUCAUCCAUUUGCAGUGUUAAAAAUUAGCACGGCUAAUGGAAUAACCAAACAAUGAUACGUGACGUGCCAUGUGUACCUCAUACUGAUGUAAAAGGACCAAUUUUUAAUAGUAAAAAUGGAUUGAUUUUUUAACA
rfam:Gossypium hirsutum cultivar TM-1 chromosome 17, whole genome shotgun sequence